UGCCAUGGAGUCUCCUAUAUCCACCCGAGUGAACAAAUGGGGCCUCACUUUAAUGUUUCACCUGCGACAGUGCAGUGCCUCUUGGGUACUACACAAGUGUGUCGGCCUUGAAUUUUGUGCUGAAGCACUGGAGUGGGAUUUGAACCUGGAGCCUUGUGACUCAGGCAAGAAUGCUACAAACUGAGCCACAACUGACACUUGCCAACUGUGAGAACGCUCCAUGUACAGGCUGCUUUCCCACUUAACAAAAAAUUUGCUUGGUCUCAAGAAGAUUUGUCCAGUGCGGAGUCAAGUAGAAAACUCUGUGAUUGAAAGCCAGAUCAGCUGCAACUUGUUCCCAUAUUCUCACCAAAUCUGGCUUGUUCACCCCUUCUCUGUACGCUUAGCAGAGAAUCGAGGCCUGAGACUGUGUGUUUUCAACCCAGUUGUUGUGACUUUCUCUUGGGUCCCUAGCUACCCCUUUUGCACAUCAAAAGCAGGGAUGCCCGUGCAGAGAUACUGUGUGGACUAUGCCAAGCGUGGCACAGCUGGCUGCAAGAAGUGCAGGGAGAAACUCCCAAAAGGACUAGUGAGGAUUGGGAGGAUCAUGCCGAAUCCUUUCUCUGAAGCAGCCGAGAUGAAGGAAUGGUACCACAUCAAAUGUAUGUUUGAGAAGCUGGAACGUGCCCGACUAAGUACCAAGAAAAUCGAUGACUUAACGGACCUAGAAGGUUAUGAAGAGCUUCAGGAUGCAGAGAGGGAUCUGAUCAACCAGCACAUUAAAGAACUUGCAAUCAAGAACGGCUUACUAUCUUCAAAAAUUAAGCCCUCCCAGAGUAAGCCAACUGCAGUCACUCCAUCGCCCCGUAAAUUCUCUGGAUUCUCGGCUAAAACAGGGUGCCCUGAUGAGGAGCCUUCAACCUCCAGCAGUGCACUGUCAGCUGGGGCGUGUGACCCGAAUCACAAGGAUUGCUCGUUGCGGGAAUUCCGAAAACUGUGCGCUAUGAUUGCAGAUAAGCCAAGCUAUAAUACUAAAACACAGAUUAUCCAUGAUUUUCUGAAGAAGGGCACAGGUGGGGAUGGAAAAUUCCAUGGGGAUGUAUACCUAACCAUAAAACUACUCUUACCUGGUGUGGUAAAAACCAUUUAUAACCUGAGUGACAAGCAGAUCGUCAAACUGUUCAGCAGGAUAUUUAACUGCAGCCUGGAUGACAUGGUGCGAGACUUGGAACAGGGUGAUGUCUCUGAGACUGUGCGCAUCUUUUUUGAAGAGAGUCAGAGUUUCCCUCCGGCCCAUAAAAGUGUAAUGACAAUUCAGGAGGUCGAGGCAGCUCUCACCCAGCUGUCCAAGAUGACCAGGGAAGAAGACCAACAGAAAGAGCUUCAGAAUAUUGCUUCAAAAUGUACAGCUAAUGAUUUGAAAUGCAUCAUCAGGUUGAUUAAACAUGAUUUAAGAAUGAAUUCUGGAGCAAAACAUGUGUUGGAUGCCUUAGACCCCAAUGCUUACGAUGCAUUCAAAGCCUCACGUAAUUUGCAAGAUGUGGUUGACCGCGUUCUCCAGAAUCAACAAGAAUCUGAACAAGUACCAGGAUUGAAGAAAAUUCUCAGCAUCAAGGCUAACCUUCUAACCCCAGUACAGCCUAUGCUGGCUGAAGCUUGCAAAUCAAUCGAAUAUGCCAUGAAGAAAUGCCCAAAUGGAAUGUAUGCAGAGAUCAAGUACGAUGGGGAGAGAGUUCAAGUGCAUAAGAAUGGGGACACCUUCCAAUACUACAGCAGAAGCCUGAAGCCUGUGUUGCCACAUAAAGUUGCUCAUUUUAGGGAUUUUAUUCCCAAAGCUUUUGUAGGAGGUGACAGCAUGAUUUUGGAUUCUGAGGUGCUGCUGAUUGAUACACACAGUGGAAAACCACUCCCUUUUGGAACACUGGGUGUCCAUAAGAAAGCCGCCUUCAAGGAUGCUAAUGUUUGUCUUUUUGUCUUCGACUGCAUUUAUUUCAAUGGAGUCAGCCUCAUGAACAGACCAAUCAGUGAGAGAAAGCAAUUCCUUCAUGACAACAUGGUUGAAAUCCCCAAUAGGAUCAUGUUUUCAGAGAUGAAGCAUGUGACUAGGGCCUCUGACCUGGGAGAAAUGAUCAAUCGAGUGAUUAGAGAGGGCCUGGAGGGACUGGUAUUGAAAGACAUUAAGAGUCUGUACGAACCGGGCAAACGUCAUUGGCUGAAAGUAAAGAAGGAUUAUCUCAAUGAAGGUGCGAUGGCUGAUACUGCUGACCUCGUUGUGCUGGGAGCAUUCUAUGGGCAAGGGAAUAAAGGUGGGAUGAUGUCCAUUUUCUUGAUGGGGUGCUACGAUCCUGAUUCUUCACAAUGGUGCACAGUGACCAAGUGUGGAGGUGGGCAUGAUGAUGCAACAUUGGCACGAUUACAGAAUGAAUUGGAUAUGGUGAAAAUAAGCAAGGAUCCAAGCAAGGUACCAGGUUGGCUAAAUGUCAGUAAGAACUACACACCCGAUUUUAUUAUCAGAGAUCCAAAGAAAGCACCAGUGUGGGAAAUCACUGGAGCUGAGUUCUCUAAAUCAGAGGCCCACUCUGCAGAUGGCAUCUCAAUUCGGUUCCCGCGGUGCACGCGUAUUCGUGAAGACAAAGACUGGCAAACUGCAACCAAUCUUCUUCAGCUCAAGGAAUUAUACAGGGUUUCUAAAGAGAAGACAGAUAUUAUUGUGACUUCUGGGAAAGAUGAUGAUGAAUGGCCUUCUGGUGGUUCCGGGAACACUGAGGUGACAUCAAAACUGACAUCACGAGGUUCAAAAGCCCCUUCAAAAUCACCUGGGAAGAAAAGUAAGAGCCAAGAAGCUAACAGCACCUCCAAAAAAUCGCCGUCUGAAACUUCAGAUUCAUCAGCAGGAAAAGGGAUGAAGAGGAAAUUGCCGGCAAUUGAACAGAAUGGAAAGAAGCAGAUCAAAUCAACUGUAACCAAAAAGAGUAAUGGCACUUUGCUUUCCAGUCCAUCUUUGCCUUCUUAUUCUAACCAGACGCUGCUGAACAUAUUUACAGGAGUGAAGCUUUAUUUGCCUGCAUCAGUGCAAGACUUCAGCAGAGUCCGCCGGUACUUCAUUGCAUACGAUGGUGACCUGGUUGCAGAAUAUGACCUGGCUACAGCAACACAUGUGGUUGGUGACAAGAAGGAGAAUACAUGUGCUAAAUGUGUCUCUGUGAAUUGGAUCUGGGAGUGCAUUAAGAAAAGAAGGCUGGUUCCUCCGUGCUGAUAGAUUUCACUCUUUAGCAUAACGGCUCAAAACAAAAGGGUAAAGAUCUCGAAUUCGAGAUUUAAGUACUUUGAAAUCAAGACUUCUGUGUCAUGGGGAAUGAACGAUAUUGGCACAAUAUCCUGUGCUUGGUAUCAUGUAUACAUUUGUAGACUUGCCUAGUAGGAAGACUGAAGCAAAGAGGUACUGCAAGUGUCUUCACUUUCUUUACCACUCCUUUUUUGUGACACGUAUUGAUGAUUACUGUACUAUGGUGCUGUAUCUCUCUGUAUUCGAGGCCAUGGAAUGUGCAUUGCAAUCCACAGUCCUUAUGGGGCACUAUCUUACAGAAAAAAGUAUGAAAGACAGCUUCUUGAAGAGCAUUGGUCCCUGCUGGCAGCCACAGGCUUUUUAAAGCAUUUCCAGCUUUUCAUGACUUUAAUGACCAUUGAUCUGUACUUGGUGCUAGCAAAAUAAUACACAAUCGGAUCCAGAACACCAUUGAUGUGAGUGCAGAGAAGACUUGAAUAGUAAACCAUGCCAGCUCUUUGGAAAAGUAGACAGUUGUUGCGAUCUACAGUAGCAAUCAAAAAGUGCCCCACAGCUAAAGGGAAAAAGCAGAUGAUGAAGACGAAUAAUACGAAUACCAUCAUCUUGACAGCAUGUUGGUUCCUUUGUUGCGAUUGAGAUGUUAAUGCAGAAUUGGCCAAUUCCCGUUGCAUUAAUAUUGUGGAGACCAGCAGAAAUCCAAAUGGAAUUGCACAACCCACAACAAAUAAGAUAAUACCUGACGGCAGUAAAAUGCGUGAGACAUGUGGUUCAUUAAAACUCAAACAAUACAGUUUUCCAUUCAUUUCAAAAUUGUUGAUCAUGUAAAAGGAUGGACUCGAGAAACCACAAGCCAACAACCAUAUUAUUAUACUGAUGGCAAUAGUACGUUUCUUUGUAAUUCUGUGUUGAAACUGGAUGGGUUUGGUGAUCAUGUAACAGCGGUAGCUGCUGAUGCAUGCCAGGAAGAAGAGACUUGCCAACACACAGCCACUGGUGAAGAAUACUUGGAGUUUGCACAUAAAGCUCCCAAAUAUCCAAUGAUUGUGGCUGUAGUAAAUGAUCAAAAAGGGGCUGGUGAAUGAAAACAGCAAAUCACCUACGCACAGAUUGAGCAUCAAAAUAUCAAUCGGAGUCUUUUUCUUUACUUGAAAGCACAAUAUCCAUAAGGAGAAACUGUUGAAGCCUGCAGCUAAAAUGAAGAUGACUGUAAUUGCUGGAGCCAUAAUUGUUGACAGGAAGUCUUCAUUUUGCAGACAUGGUGCUUUAGUUGGAACUGAUGAAGUGUUCAUUUCUUAAGCCGAACCUACCUAUAUAUGCAAGACAAGAGUGCCAUGUAUUGCAUCAGAAUACCUGUUUCUAAAUUGUGAUAGCUAGAUACAGAAAUUUUAGAUGUCAAGCAAAAAUAGGAUUAUAAAAUACAUUUCUAACAUGAAA